rnacentral:rRNA from 1 species
CAGCCGCCGCGGUAAUACGGAGGGUGCAAGCGUUAAUCGGAAUUACUGGGCGUAAAGCGCACGCAGGCGGUCUGUCAAGUCAGAUGUGAAAUCCCCGGGCUUAACCUGGGAACUGCAUUUGAAACUGGCAGGCUAGAGUCUUGUAGAGGGGGGUAGAAUUCCAGGUGUAGCGGUGAAAUGCGUAGAGAUCUGGAGGAAUACCGGUGGCGAAGGCGGCCCCCUGGACAAAGACUGACGCUCAGGUGCGAAAGCGUGGGGAGCAAACAGGAUUAGAUACCGAGUAGUCCCUGUCUCUUAUACA